rnacentral:lncRNA from 1 species
CUCCUCCUGUUACUUUUCAUGAUAAACUCAUAAAAAUGACAGCUCGAUGGAUUUGAAAUGUAGGAAAAUUUAACCUCUGUAUUUGUCACAUUCUUAAUUGCUUUGAAAUUUUUUCAUGUUGGCAUAAGGUUCUAAAAUGAAAUAUGCAACCUGCAGUUAUGAUGUUUCUACAAAUAUCAACAGGUGCCUUUGUUAUGGUGUAGAAUGGAGAUAUGGUAAAGCUCCUAAAAAGUCAGAGGAAUCUCAAUCUAAUCUACACUUUCAAUGUUUGAAAUAUUGACACCUAUAUAUAAGACAUUUUAGUCUGAUUUAUAUCCAUACUUUGAUGUUCUAGUAAUUUCUAUGUCAAUAAAACAUCCACAUUGUGCAA